UUUUUCCAUCUUCUUCACUAGCCACCAUUUCUCAAAAAGGAGAAGAUCUUGCAAUUAUCAAAGGGAAGCAAAGAGGUUUCAAGAAUAAUUAAAGCCAGUCAAACUUUUGACUGUUGAUUUUUGUGUAAUCAAGAGUUUAGAGAAGAAAUUGCAGGUACAAGUUCUUGAUGUGCAUGGAAAUCAUAAGCAUCCGGAUGGGAGUUUAGUACACGAGUACUUUCUUAUUUAGGUUAUCUUGAAUGUUAUAUUUGACUUUACUUGACCAAGGGGUCAAGGUUUGACUUUUGAAGAUGGGACUAGUAUGGGAUAGUCUCGGAGUUUGUAAUUCAUUUACAUACUUUCUUAUUUAUGUUGUAUUAAAGUAUUUUCAGUUUAUUUUAAAAGACUUCCGCUGUAUUAUCUGAUUAGCCUUACGUAUUAUCAUGCGUGGCAUAACAACUCCCGUAAUUUCUCCUAGUUUAUAAAAGGAGGAGUCGUGGGGGUGUUACAAAGUGGUUACCAGAGCUCCAAGGUUUAUAUUACCUUAUUUUACAAAAGUUUUCGAACUUAAAAGUAUUUCAAAGUCGAAUUGCAAAAAGGGAAGGGAAUUGCAUAUGCAUAUGUACAUUGCGUCGCAUUAGCCACUAAGACUUUAUGUGUCUUAGAUUAGUAAGUGCUCUUAGUUCUAGUAGCACUUUUGAUGUGUUUUAUGUGACUAAGUGUUUGAUUGCAACGUGAUUGGUAUUUUCUACUUGUAUGGAGUCCAGUUUGGACUGAAAGGUGUAGUAUGACUACAAAGUAGUGCUAGUUUUGCUUUCAUCUACUACUCUAGUAAGAGAGUUAGUAUAAAAGUUCCUUAGAAAGGAGAUUGCGAAUUAAAUGUCAGUGUGGCAUUUGCUUAGUAUUUUGACCUAAAUUCUGACAUGAAUUGCAAAUUCUUUAAUAUCAAUCAAACAAAUUUAAGUCAUUUUUUGGGAAAUGAAACUUCCUAUAAACAUUAAAUUCCAUAUAUACUAAACGAGCACUUAAUAACAACAACAAAAUUUACCCGAUGUAUGAGACUAUUAGGGAUGGCAAUCCAGUCCGAAUCCGACCCUACUCCGCUCCAAUUCGAAGAAAAAAAUCCGAGUUGACUCCGGAAAAAAAAAGUAAUCUGACUCCGACUCCGUUUAAAAAAUUCGACUCCGAGUCGGAGGAGGGUCGGAGUCGGAUCUCAUAAAAUAAUACGACAUCCGAAUCCGACUCCGACUUUGAGUCAAUCAAUCCUUUUUUCUUAUUUAUGUAUAAUCUGACUUCGACUUUUAGCCAAUUGUAUUAUAUAGGAUUUUCUCAUAGAAAAAAUGAUUGUUAAAAAUAAUAGUAAUAAUUAAAUUAUUUGUACUAUAUAAGAUUUUCAUAUGAUGAUUAGAAUAAAUUGUAACGAUUAAAUUAUUGUAUUAUAGAAGACUAUUCUAUUAUAAAAAAUAGGAAGAAACAUAAGUCGGAUCAGGUUCGGAGUCGGAUGUUCGGAUUUUAAGUCGGAUGUCCGGAUUUUAAGUCGGGUCGGAUCUCGGAGUCGGAUGUUCGGAUUUUAAGUCGGGUCGGAUUCGGAUUGUCAAAGCCGGAUGUCGGAGUCGGACUCAGAUUUAAAAUCCGACUUUCUGUAGGGUCGGAGUCGGAUUAUGCAUAAUCCGGUCCAAGUCCGACCCGUUGCCAUUCCUAGACACUAUGACUCUAUGAGUAUAUGCUAGAUUUACUGUAGAAAGAGUGUUACUCAUCGUGAAGUGAACAACGUGUUCACUAGUAAAAAGCCCAAAGCAAUGUUUGACCCAUAACAUUAUAAUUUACCAGUUUGACCCAAACGAUGGUUUUGAUUAUGGGUUUGGUCAGUUCCAAUUCUAAUGAAACUUGGGCUGUUGGGCAAUUCACUUAUACAAGACGAAAUUUUUUACCAACAACCAAAUGAAUAAACAGUACGAAUAGUGUGGACGAAUUCAAAUUGUUACAAUGAUACCAUAUCAUCAGGAUUUUAAACCAAAACUAUCUAUUGGUAAUUGGUCUAUUUUUAUAAUUAUAUUUAAUCUAAAAUGCUAAAAUAAAUCAUCCAUAUAUUACAAAUUGUUUAUUCAAAGUCAUCCUUUAAAUUUUCCCGAUAACCGUUAUUUUGUAAAUUAUCACUAUGUCGACAUAUUCAAACACUUGUACUAGACCGACGUUCUUUCCCUUUUAAUUAAAUUAAGAUAGAUUGAAGAUUUAAUGUGUGAAUAUACGCUAUGCUAAAUCAGAGGUUUUGAUAUUGGAUUGUGUUAAUAUGAACUUAAAAUUAAGGAUCUUCGAAUCAAAAUGUUACUUUAAGGGUGCCUUUAUUUGAACUAUAAUUCAUCUUGUAAAUUUUAAAGUUAAAAAUAUGAUAUAUUUGAUAAGUUUGCUAGACCUCAAAAAUACAUGGUAUAAAAUCCCUUUAAUACUUCUUGUUCUUAUAUAUGCUUCACACAAAAAACUACUUAUCUAUUUUUGGUGCAUGUUAGAACUCUAUAUAUUAUUUUUGUCGAGAUUAUAGCAUCACAUAGCAAAUUUCUUGAGAAAGAAAAGCCUAAUCUACAUCAUGACAAAUUUAGCUCUAUCAGUAAAACAUUAGAUCUAGUACAUAUUGUAACAUGAGUUCUUUUAUCUACAUAUUCGAAAGCGACCUCGCUAUGUUUUUUUUUUUUUUUUUUUUGAUUGGGAAAUUAAGUUAACCCAAGGGCUAACCCCUACCAAGGUUACUAGCCUUGUAGGAACAACCAACACAUUGGCUGGUAAAGCAUGCAAAGCAUGCUAAGGAAAUACCCCAACAUAAUGCUGGGGGUAAGGAUCGAACCCAUGACCUCAAGGAUCAGAGGGGAGUGAGCGACCUCGCUAUGUAUGCAACUCAAACUAUUAUGUUGUACGAAAUUAAGAUGUUUCUAAAAAAGUUGCACCACGUAAAAGGUUUGAUAAAAUAUUCUGGUAAUUCUACAAGAUAGGGAAAAAUGAUUUUUCUUUAUUCUGGUUACAUUACAACCUUACAAAUUAAAGGUUAUGCUAUAAAUUAAAGUUGUUCCUUCAACAACAUUGCAUGAAUAUGAAUGGUGACUUAAUGAAGGCACGAUGAUAUUUUUGUACUAAGAUAACUACUCCUGAGUCCUGCCAUACUUUUCAUUUAGGAGUAGUUAAUAAAAAUGUUUGGUUAUGGUGACCUAUCCCUCUCAAACGUUAAAAGAUUGUUUGGAAUUGAGAGGAAAACAUAUUCAUAGAAAUGAUUUUUACAUACUGUAUUUCUUUAUUUGAUUUAA